CGAUCCCAGGCCGAGUUUUCGCUUUUAUAACGGUUAGGCGAACAACUGGGCCUGGUACUAGUUGUCUGCGCAUGUGUCAGUCGUUCGUCAGAUUCUGACGAAUGGAUAUUCUCGUUCACUUUCGUGACAUUUAUAUUCGUGUACUAUCGUGUACUAGAAGUCAGUUCCCGUUUUAUCAUUAUUGGAAUCGAUUGGAAUGGCUCUUAGCUGAAGCUUCUCUCUUCUCUGAAGCUUAUUCUGAAGACUGAACAACAAGGGAAGAGGUAUAAAGCUUUGUCAAGCUUGUUAAGGUCAGAUAUUUUUGUGUGGGCCCUGUGGCCGGCUAUGCUAUCAAGUCUUGUUCAUGUUUGGCAAGAAUGUAGGUAGACUAUAGUUUCAUCAUUAAUAUGGUGGAUCAAGUGAAGAGUGUGAGCUAGAGAACUUGGUGCUGCCAUCAUCAGCUCGUCGACAAUGACACUAUAACCGAGAAAUUUAAUAUGUAUAGAUCUACACGUAUUUAAAAUGUCUACUUCUCUGUACAGGAGCAAUGGCUAAUAUCCAGCUAUCCCAACAGUGCUCCUCUUGGCUAUACUAACGGACGAGACUGGACAGUUUGAGACACAGGACUGGAGUAUGACCUGCUCAUUCGAGCGUUGCUGGGUAGCUCAGAGACAUCAAGAGAAUCUACGUUUUCUCAAGCAAUGAGUUACGAGUUGGGGCCUAGAAUCAGAGAAGUCCAGCAGCCUGCUAAAUCUUUUUGAAACGUAAUUUGAAGGCAUUCAAUCAUCCUGAAGUUGCCCUGGGUCACUGUAAUUGUGCUGCAGCACAACUGGCAACUCCCCAGGCCUUUGUGAAGCAGCUCCCUAUGUGCAUCUUUUGUGUACUCACUCUGUGCAUUUUCUGUGUACAAAUUUCGAUUAUUGAUUUAUUAAAUAUUUUUGCCGACCACAAA